UACAGAGGGUGCAAGCGUUAAUCGGAAUUACUGGGCGUAAAGCGCGCGUAGGUGGUUUGUUAAGUUGGAUGUGAAAUCCCCGGGCUCAACCUGGGAACUGCAUCCAAAACUGGCAAGCUAGAGUAUGGUAGAGGGUGGUGGAAUUUCCUGUGUAGCGGUGAAAUGCGUAGAUAUAGGAAGGAACACCAGUGGCGAAGGCGACCACCUGGACUGAUACUGACCACUGAGGUGCGAAAGCGUGGGGAGCAAACAGG
rnacentral:rRNA from 1 species